GACGAACGCUGGCGGCGUGCUUAACACAUGCAAGUCGAACGGAAAGGCCAUGCUGUUGUGGGGUGCUCGAGUGGCGAACGGGUGAGAAACACGUGAGUAACCUGCCCUUGACUUUGGGAUAACUUCAGGAAACUGGGGCUAAUACCGGAUAGGAGCUCCUGCUGCAAGGUGGGGGUUGGAAAGUUUCGGCGGUUGGGGAUGGACUCGCGGCUUAUCAGCUUGUCGGUGGGGUAGUGUCUAACCAAGGCAUUGACGGGUAGCCGGCCUGAGAGGGUGACCGGCCACAUUGUGACUGAGAUACGGCCCAGACUCCUACGGGAGGCAGCAGUGGGGAAUAUUGCACAAUGGGCGGAAGCCUUAUGCAGCAACGCCGCGUGCGGGAUGACGGCCUUCGGGUUGUAAACCGCUUUCGCCUGUGACGAAGCGUGAGUGACGGUAAUGGGUAAAGAAGCACCGGCUAACUACGUG
rnacentral:rRNA from 1 species